rnacentral:lncRNA from 1 species
UGGUGCAAUUAGCUUCAGCAACUGCUCAUGCCUGCGGUUUUGUUUCUGCAUUAUAAUCUUAUGUCUCCUUAUUGUUUCUAUUUGCAAAGCUUCAUACCUCUAUUUUUUCUCUAUCUGCAUCUCAUCCAACUAUCUUGCUAGCACUCCUAUUUUAGUGUUAUAUUCACCUAUUACUUGCUGUAACCUAUCUUCAAUGUGACUGUGGCAUUUAGUGGAGAGUGUUUGCAUUUUUACUUCCAAAAUUUUGAGAUUUUCAUUGAUUUCCUUCAAUCU